rnacentral:rRNA from 1 species
GACGAACGCUGGCGGCGUGCUUAACACAUGCAAGUCGAACGCUGAAGCACCAGCUUGCUGGUGUGGAUGAGUGGCGAACGGGUGAGUAAUACGUGAGUAACCUGCCCUUGACUCUGGGAUAAGCCCGGGAAACUGGGUCUAAUACUGGAUGCUACAUGUCACCGCAUGGUGGUGUGUGGAAAGGGUUUACUGGUCUUGGAUGGGCUCACGGCCUAUCAGCUUGUUGGUGAGGUAAUGGCUCACCAAGGCGACGACGGAUAGCCGGCCUGAGAGGUGACCGGCCACACUGGGACUGAGACACGGCCCAGACUCCUACGGGAGGCAGCAGUGGGGAAUAUUGCACAAUGGGCGAAAGCCUGAUGCAGCGACGCCGCGUGAGGGAUGACGGCCUUCGGGUUGUAAACCUCUUUCAGCAGGGAAGAAGCCACAAGUGACAGUACCUGCAGAAGAAGCGCCGGCUAACUACGUG